rnacentral:rRNA from 1 species
GCGCCAGACUCCUACGGGAGGCAGCAGUGAGGAAUAUUGGUCAAUGGCCGGGAGGCUGAACCAGCCAAGUCGCGUGAGGGAAGACGGCCCUACGGGUUGUAAACCUCUUUUGUCAGGGAGCAAGGUGCAGGUCGGGACCUGCUGUGAGAGUACCUGAAGAAAAAGCAUCGGCUAACUCCGUGCCAGCAGCCGCGGUAAUACGGAGGAUGCGAGCGUUAUCCGGAUUUAUUGGGUUUAAAGGGUGCGCAGGCGGAGGCACAAGUCAGCGGUAAAAUUGCGGGGCUCAACCUCGCCGAGCCGUUGAAACUGCUCUUCUAGAGUGGGCGAGAAGUAUGCGGAAUGCGUGGUGUAGCGGUGAAAUGCAUAGAUAUCACGCAGAACUCCGAUUGCGAAGGCAGCAUGCCGGCUCCACACUGACGCUGAGGCACGAAAGCGUGGGUAUCGAACAGGAUUAGAUACCCCGGUAU